rnacentral:rRNA from 1 species
ACAGAGGGAUGCUACCGGGCGACCGGAUGCGGAUCUCGAAAGCCUGUCCCAGUUCGGACUGGAGUCUGCAACCCGACUCCACGAAGUUGGAUUCGCUAGUAAUCGCGCAUCAGCCAUGGCGCGGUGAAUACGUUCCCGGGCCUUGUACACACCGCCCGUCAAGCCAUGGGAGCCGGGGGCGCCUGAAGUCCGGGACCGCGAGGACCGGCCUAGGGCGAAACUGGUAACUGGGGCUAAGUCGUAACAAGGUAGC